rnacentral:rRNA from 1 species
GUACACUCCUACGGGAGGCAGCAGUGGGGAAUUUUGGACAAUGGGCGAAAGCCUGAUCCAGCAAUGCCGCGUGAGUGAAGAAGGCCUUCGGGUUGUAAAGCUCUUUUGUCAGGGAAGAAACGGUGAGAGCUAAUAUCUUUUGCUAAUGACGGUACCUGAAGAAUAAGCACCGGCUAACUACGUGCCAGCAGCCGCGGUAAUACGUAGGGUGCAAGCGUUAAUCGGAAUUACUGGGCGUAAAGCGUGCGCAGGCGGUUUUGUAAGUCUGAUGUGAAAUCCCCGGGCUCAACCUGGGAAUUGCAUUGGAGACUGCAAGGCUAGAAUCUGGCAGAGGGGGGUAGAAUUCCACGUGUAGCAGUGAAAUGCGUAGAUAUGUGGAGGAACACCGAUGGCGAAGGCAGCCCCCUGGGUCAAGAUUGACGCUCAUGCACGAAAGCGUGGGGAGCAAACAGGAUUAGAAACCCCAGUAGUCCCAUG